AUUUGUUCCCGAAGAUUUGGUUCCGACGCCCCCUUUCGGAGGCGAGGAUGAAAAGGGAACCGGGUGCAAUUCCCGGACAGUCCCGCUGCUGUGAAGCUCCGCAACAUUCCGAACAUCUCAGCCACUGGCCGCGUGCCGGGAAGGCUUCGGAACAGGAGCCAGUCAGAAGACCUGCCAAAUCGAUUCGACAUCG
rfam:Alistipes sp. An31A An31A_contig_6, whole genome shotgun sequence.